rnacentral:rRNA from 1 species
AAACUUUCAGCUAGAGUAUGAUAGAGGAAAGCAGAAUUUCUAGUGUAGAGGUGAAAUUCGUAGAUAUUAGAAAGAAUACCAAUUGCGAAGGCAGCUUUCUGGAUCAUUACUGACACUGAGGAACGAAAGCAUGGGUAGCGAAGAGGAUUAGAUACCCUCGUAGUCCAUGCCGUAAACGAUGUGUGUUAGACGUUGGAAAUUUAUUUUCAGUGUCGCAGGGAAGCCGAUAAACACACCGCCUGGGGAGUACGACCGCAAGGUUAAAACUCAAAUGAAUUGACGGGGACCCGUACAAGUAGUGGAGCAUGUGGUUUAAUUCGAAGAUACGCGCAGAACCUUACCAACACUUGACAUGUUCGUCGCGACUCUAAGAGAUUAGAGCUUUCGGUUCGGCCGGACGAAACACAGGUGCUGCAUGGCUGUCGUCAGCUCGUGUCGUGAGAUGUUGGGUUAAGUCCCGCAACGAGCGCAACCCUCACUUUUAGUUGCCAUCAUUAAGUUGGGCACUCUGAAAGAACUGCCAGUGAUAAGCUGGAGGAAGGUGGGGAUGACGUCAAGUCCUCAUGGCCCUUACGUGUUGGGCUACACACGUGCUACAAUGGUAUCUACAACAGGAAGCAAGACUGCGAAGUUAAGCAAAUCCCUAAAAGAUACCUCAGUUCGGAUUGCACUCUGCAACUCGAGUGCAUGAAGCUGGAAUUACUAGUAAUCGUGGAUCAGCGUGCCACGGUGAAUGCGUUCCCGGGUCUUGUACACACCGCCCGUCACACCAUGGGAGUUGGUUCUACCUUAGGCAAGGUUUCAAACCCUUGACCACGGUAUAGUCAGCGACUGGGGUGAAGUCGUAACAAGGUAACCGUA